rnacentral:rRNA from 1 species
GAGCGACACUGCUUGAAGGAUGAAGGUCUUCGGAUCGUAAACUUCUGAACCUGCGACGAAAAAUGACGGUAGCAGGCUAAUAGCACCGGCUAACUCCGUGCCAGCAGCCGCGGUAAUACGGAGGGUGCAAGCGUUAUCCGGAAUCACUGGGCGUAAAGGGCGCGUAGGCGGUUUGUUAAGUCCGAUGUUAAAGACCGAGGCUCAACCUCGACACGGCGUUGGAUACUGGCAAGCUGGACGGUUGGAGAGGAAGGUAGAAUUACCAGUGUAGCGGUGGAAUGCGUAGAUACUGGUAGGAAUACCCAUUGCGAAAGCAGCCUUCUGGACAACACGUGACGCUUAAGCGCGAAAGUGUGGGGAGCAAACCGGAUUAGAUACCCGGGUAGUCCACACCCUAAACGAUGCAUACUUGGUGUCGGCCCGUUGGGGUCGGUGCCGGAGUAACGCGUUAAUAUGCCGCCUGGGAAGACGGCCGCAAGGUUGAAACUCAAGAAU